GGUCCGGUAGCUCAAUGGAUAGAGCAAUUCCGUCCUAAGGAAGAGGUUGUGCGUUCGACUCGCACCCGGAUCACCA
rnacentral:tRNA from 1 species